rnacentral:ribozyme from 1 species
UGCAGAGUGACCCGCUCCGGCGGGGUAAUGCACGCGGCGAAAGUCGUACGGUCACAAGUCCGA